rnacentral:rRNA from 1 species
UACGUAGGGUGCGAGCGUUGUCCGGAAUUAUUGGGCGUAAAGAGCUUGUAGGCGGUUUGUCGCGUCUGCCGUGAAAAUCCGGGGCUCAACCCCGGACUUGCGGUGGGUACGGGCAGACUAGAGUGUGGUAGGGGAGACUGGAAUUCCUGGUGUAGCGGUGAAAUGCGCAGAUAUCAGGAGGAACACCGAUGGCGAAGGCAGGUCUCUGGGCCAUAACUGACGCUGAGGAGCGAAAGCAUGGGGAGCGAACAGG